rnacentral:rRNA from 1 species
GACGAACGCUGGCGGCGUGCUUAACACAUGCAAGUCGAACGGAAAGGCCCUGCGUUUGUGGGGUGCUCGAGUGGCGAACGGGUGAGUAACACGUGAGUAACCUGCCCUUGACUUUGGGAUAACUUCAGGAAACUGGGGCUAAUACAGCAUAGGAGCUCCUGCUGCAUGGUGGGGGUUGGAAAGUUUCGGCGGUUGGGGAUGGACUCGCGGCUUCUCAGCUUGUUGGUGGGGUAGUGGCUGACCAAGGCUUUGACGGGUAGCCGGCCUGAGAGGGUGACCGGCCACAUUGGGACUGAGAUACGGCGCAGACUCCUACGGGAGGCAGUAGUGGGGAAUAUUGCACAGUGGGCGGAAGCCUGAGGCAGAAACGCCGCGUGCGUGAUGCCGGCCUUCGGGUUGUAAACCGAUUUCGCCUGUGACGAAGAGUUAGUGACGGUAAUGGGUAAAGAAGCACCGGCUAACUACGUG